rnacentral:lncRNA from 1 species
AUGCGGCCAGAAUGGUGACCCAGACGAUGAUAGAACUGUGGUGGAGAAACACAGGUGGAUGAGGAACCUGCCUACUCACCCAGUUCCAGCCAGUCUCCCUGGGAAGGCAGCCAUCCUUUUGCCUCUUCUCUAUUGUCACCCACUUCCUAGCACCACAAGAAGUACCAGCAUAUCCACCAGAAGUCGUUUUGCUGCCCUGAGCCGGCUUGUGGGAAGUCCUUCAACUUUAAAAAGCACCUGAAGGAGCAUGUGAAACUACACAGCGGUGCGUGGUGGGAUGCCCCUCCAGCCACCCUGGGGAGGACCCAAAUCCUUUGGUCCCUGUGCACCUUAAAAGUCCUUGCCUGCCUGAGGUUGUUACUAGGUUCUUGGUAGCCUGACCUUAGUGAAAUGCCUACUCCAUGUAGGGGCCAUGAAGAGAUGGGAAAGCAGGGGAGAGUGGAGAGCAGGAAGGACAACUUGCUUAUGUGGUUAAAAAAAAAAAAAAAAAA